GAAAGAAACAUGUAUGUUUACUAUGGUGCCAGAGGACACUGAAGACCAUCCCUACAGCAAAGACUUGGAAAGGCCCAACAAGCCAAACAGCAACCGUGUGACUCCAGUUGUCUGUUAAUUAAUGUCAUUACUCAGGAUGAAGGCAUGCUGCAAUACCUUAAGGUGAGUGACAAUGGCAUUUUGUGUGGUGUUUGUGUAUUUAUAUAUGAAUACCCAAGCUAAACACCUAUAAUAUAUUUAUAGAAAAUCAU